rnacentral:rRNA from 9 species
GUCAGUAGGUGACCUGCGGAAGGAUCAUUA